rnacentral:lncRNA from 1 species
CCAUAGGAUUGCCAAUUGGGUAUUGACAAUCCGCUAAGGUUAGUAUGUGUUAUGUCGACUCAAGCGUGAAUAUGACUUGUCUCAAGUCAUUUGGUGUUGGACACUAAGACAAACACAUAGGUGCUCGAAAGUGUAAUCGAGUACACUGAACAACGAUCAAAAGAGAGUUCAAACAUACAUGUCAUGUAAGAACUCGAAAGUUGCAAUAUGCAGUGUAGUUCUUUGACCUGAGGCAUCAUAGAUGUCUAAUGGUUAGGUCAUUGAUCUUUGAUUAUGUCAAUGGCAUUCCCUCGGAGUGUCCACGGCAUUGUUGGGGUCAAGUUAUCUAGUCAUGUAGGCAUAUGAAUGCACAACAAGGGAUCUCUAACCUUCCAUGGUGGAAGGAGUAU